rnacentral:rRNA from 1 species
CAAGAGUUUGAUCCUGGCUCAGAUUGAACGCUGGCGGAACGCUUUACACAUGCAAGUCGAACGGUAACGCGGAGAGAAGCUUGCUUCUCUCCGGCGACGAGUGGCGAACGGGUGAGUAAUACAUCGGAACGUGUCCGCUCGUGGGGGACAACCAGCCGAAAGGUUGGCUAAUACCGCAUGAGUUCUACGGAAGAAAGAGGGGGACCCGCAAGGGCCUCUCGCGAGCGGAGCGGCCGAUGACUGAUUAGCCGGUUGGUGAGGUAACGGCUCACCAAAGCAACGAUCAGUAGCUGGUCUGAGAGGACGACCAGCCACACUGGGACUGAGACACGGCCCAGACUCCUACGGGAGGCAGCAGUGGGGAAUUUUGGACAAUGGGCGCAAGCCUGAUCCAGCUAUUCCGCGUGUGGGAUGAAGGCCCUCGGGUUGUAAACCACUUUUGUAGAGAACGAAAAGACACCUUCGAAUAAAGGGUGUUGCUGACGGUACUCUAAGAAUAAGCACCGGCUAACUACGUGCCAGCAGCCGCGGUAAGAGGCGUA